ensembl:ncRNA W06A7.11 ncRNA
CUUAAUACUAAUACUUUUCCAUAAAAUAACGACAAAUAACCGUUUAGAGUACAAGCUAGCCUCUUAUUUGGCAAAAGGUGUUCGAGUUGACGGAAAGUGCGCGAAAAGAAUAGGUUUUUGUGUCGGAGGCGGUAUGUUUGCAUGAGUCAU